CAGACAGUCAGAACUGUGCACUAGGCCUAUCUAUCAGUGUGUUGGUCAGCCACCAGACAGUCAGAACUGUGCACUAGGCCUAUCUAUCAGUGUGUUGGUCAGCCACCAGACAGUCAGAACUGUGCACUAGGUCUAUCAGUGUGUUGGUCAGCCACCAGACAGACAGUCAGAACCGUGCACUAGGUCUAUCUAUCAGUGUAUUGGUCAGCCACCAGGCAGACAGUCAGAACUGUGCACUAGGCCUAUCUAUCAGUGUGUUGGUCAGACAGUCAGAACUGUGCACUAGGCCUAUCUAUCAGUGUGUUGGUCAGACAGUCAGAACUGUGCACUAGGUCUAUCUAUCAGUGUGUUGGUCAGCCACCAGACAGUCAGAACUGUGCACUAGGCCUAUCUAUCAGUGUGUUGGUCAGCCACCAGACAGUCAGAACUGUGCACUAGGCCUAUCUAUCAGUGUGUUGGUCAGCCACCAGGCAGACAGUCAGAACUGUGCACUAGGUCUAUCUAUCAGUGUGUUGGUCAGCCACCAGACAGUCAGAACUGUGCACUAGGCCUAUCUAUCAGUGUGUUGGUCAGCCACCAGACAGUCAGAACUGUGCACUAGGCCUAUCUAUCAGUGUGUUGGUCAGCCACCAGGCAGACAGUCAGAAC